AUGAGUAUCCUUGUGUGGAACUGUCGUGGUGCUGGCAAACCAGCAACACUUCGAGAGCUUCAUAAUAGGGAGAAGUAGUUUGUCCCCUCUAUUGUAUGCAUUGUUGAGACUCAAUUAGAGUGUACUCGUGUAGAAAAUUUAGCUGAAACACUUGGUUACAAUAAAGGUUUUGUUGUUAGUAGCUCUGGUAGGAGUGGUGGUUUAGGUGUGUUUUGGAAUGAUUUAAUAAAGGCUGAAAUUAUCGGUUACUCGGAGUACCAUGUGGAUGUGGAGGUGGAUUCCUUAUUAGGUGUUCAUGCAAGAUUUACCUUCGUAUAUGAAGAGGCCCAGGUAAACGAGCGUUGCAAAACGUGGAAUAUGUUGAGGGGCAUAGCUAGCUCCAGCGCUUUAACUUGGGCGGCCCUAGGGGACUUUAAUGAGGUUUUAAGAGCGGAUGAACAUGACGGAGUUGGCAAUAGAAGUCAGGCCCAGAUGGUCGCAUUCCGGAAUGCACUUGAUGCGGAUAUCGGAUAUCAGGAGAAUCCUUGGACAUUUGAAAAAAGGGUCACAUGA
rnacentral:rRNA from 1 species